rnacentral:rRNA from 1 species
UACGUAGGGUGCGAGCGUUGUCCGGAAUUAUUGGGCGUAAAGAGCUUGUAGGCGGUUUGUCGCGUCUGCCGUGAAAAUCCGGGGCUCAACCCCGGACUUGCGGUGGGUACGGGCAGACUAGAGUGCGGUAGGGGAGACUGGAAUUCCUGGUGUAGCGGUGAAAUGCGCAGAUAUCAGGAGGAACACCGGUGGCGAAGGCGGGUCUCUGGGCCGUAACUGACGCUGAGGAGCGAAAGCGUGGGGAGCGAACAGG